rnacentral:lncRNA from 13 species
UCUUCAGAACAAGAGGAAGUGCACUUGAGGAACCAACCCUGGGGAGUCUUACACCUGGACCUGAUUAGGAACAAGAGCGUCAGCUUCGAGCAAGAGACGGAAACCACAACAGGAUUCAGCCAUCGUGGGAAGACUUGGGAGGAGAUGAAUGUAUGUGGCUUGGGGUGGAAAUGUAAACAGCUCUUGUCUAGGAAGAGACUGUGGCAGUUUUAAAAGGUGAGUGCAAAUUAUUUGACAUUUCUCCCUAAAGAGGCGGCAGUCUACAGCCCUUUCUUCUGAAGGCGCUGAGCUGUGCCGACGGAGCUUUCCUUCUGUAUCUAAGUGAACGUGUGGCUCCUUCCACCAAGAGAGCCCAGUGGAAUAACACCAAGUGAUCUCCACAGCCGGACCCCCACAGAAGGCCAUGCACACCUUCUGCUUGAGGCAAAACGCUUGUUCUUGGUGCUCUGGGCAACCUUGCAGGAAACGUCUUGAAGCUGCCAUGUGGUGAGGAAGCUCCAGCCAUGCAGGCAGGUCAUGUGUAGGCGCUUCAGUCCACAGUCCCAGGUCGGAGUCUCGCCGUGUUGCCCAGGUCGGAGUCUCACCGUGUCGCCCAGGUCGAGUCUUGUGUUGUCGCCCAGGUCGGAGUCUCGCCGUGUUGCCCAGGUCGGAGUCUCGCCGUGUCGCCCAGGUCGGAGUGCAGUAGCUGGAUCGUGGCUCACCACAGCCUCAAGCCGUCCUCCCACCUCAGCCUCUGGAGUAGCUGGAUCACAGGCGUGCGUCACCACACACUGCUAUUUUUGGUAAAGAGGGGACCUCACUGUGUUGCCCAGGCUGGUUUGCUACUCCUGGGCUCAAAUGAUCUGCCCACCUCGGCCUCCAAGUGUUGGGCCUCCACGCAGGAGCCCCUGGCUGGCUGCACAGACCAUACGGUGGAGGAGGCACAGUGGGUGGGUGGUGGGCAGCUUUCCGACGCUUUCUCAUUUAUUUUUUGUGCUCCUUUGUAGACACUUCCACAUUUUCUUCUUCUUUUCAGCCAAGAGUACAGUGUUUUUAUUUGAGAUAUAAUUCACAUACCGUAGAAUUCACCACUGUGAAGUGUACAGCGCCGUGGCUUUCUGGUACAUUCAUGCAGACGUGUGCCACCACCACGCUGAUGCCAGCACAUCUUCACUGCGUAGAAAGGAGCCCACAGCCACUCACUCAGUCACUCUCAGGGGCCAGGGAACUCAUUGCCCACUUGCCACCCUGGGUUUAUGUGCUCUGGGUGUCUCAGACACAUGGGUCACGUGAUCCGUGGCUUCUGUGGCUGGCUUCAUCACAUAGCAUGUUUCCACGUUCACCCACACUGUGGCACGUGUCAGUGGCUCACUCCAGCUGUGGCUAAGGAAUGGUUUCCUCUGCAGCUGUACCACGUGGCGUUCAGUAGGCACUUUUCAGCUGAGCACUGCUGCUGAGCCUUUGUGGAUGUCCUUUGCAGAUCCCUCGGCCUGGACCGAGGAGAGGAAGAGCAGGUCUCAUUUAGCGCAGGCGUCGAGGUGAACGCGAAGCAGCACCUGGCUGUGUUUACCUGCAUCUCCCUAACAUCUAACAAUCUGCAGAACUUCCACGUGUGGACUGGCUGUUUGUAAUUCUCCGGGGCAAUGUCUCUCGCCAAGUCCUCUGUUCACUUUUAAGCUGGGCUGUUUGUCUUUUUAUUACUGGGUUGUAGGAGUCCUUCGUAUACCCUGGAUUAUAGUCUGGUAUGAGACAUGUGAUUUGCAAAUGCUUUUCCUAUUGUGUCAGUUAUAUUUUAAUUUUCCCAAAU